rnacentral:rRNA from 1 species
AUGAACGCUGGCGGCGUGCCUAAUACAUGCAAGUCGAGCGAACGGACGAGAAGCUUGCUUCUCUGAUGUUAGCGGCGGACGGGUGAGUAACACGUGGAUAACCUACCUAUAAGACUGGGAUAACUUCGGGAAACCGGAGAUAAUACCGGAUAAUAUUUUGAACCGCAUGGUUCAAAAGUGAAAGACGGUCUUGCUGUCACUUAUAGAUGGAUCCGCGCUGCAUUAGCUAGUUGGUAAGGUAACGGCUUACCAAGGCAACGAUGCAUAGCCGACCUGAGAGGGUGAUCGGCCACACUGGAACUGAGACACGGUCCAGACUCCUACGGGAGGCAGCAGUAGGGAAUCUUCCGCAAUGGGCGAAAGCCUGACGGAGCAACGCCGCGUGAGUGAUGAAGGUCUUCGGAUCGUAAAACUCUGUUAUUAGGGAAGAACAUAUGUGUAAGUAACUGUGCACAUCUUGACGGUACCUAAUCAGAAAGCCACGGCUAACUACGUG